GUCAUAGCAAUCAGAUUUACUUAAAGACCCAUUCUUGAAACAGGUGAACAAAGGCAAGAAAACAAAAUUGCAUCAAGCCUUCAGAUUAUAACCGUAGCACAUCUCUCCCUCUGCCAGUCCAAGGGGAGCAGGCUGGCAGCAGCAGCAGUGAACAUGGUUCUGUCUCCCCAGACUCUGAUAUGCAGCAUGACAUGCUCUUUGAAAAGGCAAAGCGCUCUGUAUCAGACAUCCAAACCAGGAAUGCCAUUUCUCACUUGCUAAGCAUUCCUGAUGACAAUUCAGUUUCAGAUGAACGAAGUGCUUCCCCUUCCCUUGAGGAAAAAGAUUCCGGCCUUUUCUUGCUACGAAAAGACAGUGAACGUCGUGCAAUUCUCUACAAAAUUCUCAAGGAAGAGCAGAAUCAAGUUGCUUCCAAUUUACAGGAUUGUGUA